UUCUCUCUUUAUCGUCACGAUACCCACAGUACCCACACCAAACAACAAAUCACGCUCCCUCCCAGCCUCUCUCCGUUUGUCUGUGUGGCUUAGUUUCUCUCAGCUAUAAAACCAAGUCUCUCUGUCCGUACCCUCCAAUUUCCGAUCCUCCAGUUGUUCUUCUUCUUCUUCUUCGAUCUAAAGUCCAAAACCCUAGCUACUCUGAGAGAUAGAGAGAGAGAUCCGAAUCGUUGAGUCUACAGCAUGGAACGGAUCGUCGGCGGCAAGUACAAGCUCGGCCGCAAGAUCGGAAGUGGAUCAUUCGGAGAAAUCUUCCUCGCCACGCAUAUCGAUACGUUUGAGAUCCUCGCCGUUAAGAUUGAGAAUAGUAAAACAAAGCAUCCACAGCUGCUUUACGAGGCCAAGCUAUACAAUAUUCUUCAAGGAGGAAGUGGUAUUCCGGGCAUAAGAUGGUCAGGCAUAGACGGGGAGGACAAUGUGCUCGUGCUUGAUUUGUUGGGACCGAGUCUCGAGGACCUGUUGGUGUAUUGUGGGAGGAAAUUCUCUUUGAAGACGGUCUUGAUGUUGGCUGAUCAAAUGAUCACAAGAAUAGAGUACGUGCACUCCAAAGGAUUUUUGCAUAGAGACAUAAAACCCGAUAACUUCCUCAUGGGUCUUGGUCGAAAAGCAAAUCAGGUAUACAUAAUUGAUUUUGGGCUUGCAAAAAGAUAUCGGGAUGCGACAACCAAUCGCCAUAUCCCUUACAGGGAGAAUAAAAACUUGACGGGGACUGCGCGUUAUGCAAGUUGCAAUACUCAUCUUGGAAUUGAGCAAAGCCGGCGGGAUGAUUUGGAAUCACUUGGAUAUGUGCUGUUAUAUUUUUUGAGAGGAAGCCUUCCAUGGCAGGGUUUGAAGGCUGCCACAAAGAAGCAAAAGUAUGACAAAAUAAUGGAGAAGAAGUUAUCAACUCCUAUUGAGGUUCUCUGCAAAUCUCAUCCAGUGGAGUUUGCUUCAUACUUUCAUUACUGCCACUCCUUGACAUUUGAUCAGCGACCUGAUUAUGGAUUCUUAAAGCGUCUAUUCCGUGACUUAUUUGGUCGUGAAGGGUAUGAAUUCGAUUACGUAUUUGAUUGGACGAUCAUAAAAUACCAGCAAUCGCAAAAGAGUAGAACCCAGUCCCGAUUAUCUCCAGUUCCUGGAGGGAGCAGCAGUCGUGCAAUGCCGAUGGAUGUGGACAAUCAUCAUGGAGGUGUCAAUGCUCCUUAUUCGGCUGAAGUAGCAGACCGCAUCAGAUCAGGAAAUGCCACUGGUCCUGCUGUUCGGAUGCAUUUUAAAUCACCAAUUAGCAAGAAUUUAAGUUCUGAGAAUCCUAUUGAGAAGAAUAUGCUGAGCGAAGCACACAUGGCCUCUACUUCAAACUCUGGUCCCUCCAAAAGAAAUGCCUCUAAGGCUGUCUUGCCCUCCGAAGCUACAAAUCCUGGUAAUGGACAUGGCAAGAGAAUGGGUCCUUCAAGUAGCUGGAUUUCGUCACUACCACGCAUCUCUUCUGCAAAAUGAUGUGCUGUGGAUCUGCUCAAGAAGAUUCCAGCAAUACUGUCUUUGAAGCUGCAAAAGUGUGGUGAUUUGAUGUUAGGUUUUCUGCUAUGUAUCUGAUCGAGAAUAUUCCCUUGAUGCAUCUAUGGGGGCUGAAACAUGUGCGACUGGUGUGAUAUGCUGCAUUAGUUCCUCUAUUGAUGCCAGCUUGCGUUAUUUUUUCUUAAGGUUAAUGGGCUUUCCAUUAUAACAGUGAUUUCUCGAAGCGAUCGGGUCAAUGAACGUGUGUUUCUGAAACUUGUUUUGAGGGGGAAAAUAUGGCUCAAUGAGCUCAAGAAUUGUGACAUUUAAAACAUAUUGAAGGAUUUUUCUUCCGGCUACAAGGAAUAUGGCAGGGGAAUGCCAUUUGUAGAUGGUAUAUCAGUUCUUACUCUACAUGCUACUACUUGUUAGGAAAGAGGCUGCCUGAGUGCUUACUGGGGAAGAAGGCAUAAAAGAACGGUUGACAUUAUUUAAUUUCUUGUAUGCUGGUUCUAGAAAUUUGGAGAUGGCAUAAUAAGUGCACCCUUGAUUUCAACAAAAAAAUUUGAAAUUGGCGGUUUCGCAGCAGGAAGAAGUGGCCUCCCUCCAAAAGGGGAGAUCUAAGAAUCCUAUCAUCUUGUUUGGUUGCUGUGGCAUUACUGUCUGAGAAGGUUUCUCAAUGCCAGCUGCCAGGUAUGUUACUUUUGGAAGCUGAUUAGUAUGGGAAUUGUUGGGGUUCCUUCUGCUUGCAAGGAAAAGCAUUCACACACUUAAUAUGAGACAUGAAAUCCAGGCUGCUUUUUUGACAUGAAUGUUGGACCGACCGCCUAGUCGUUUCAGAACACAAUUUGGUGUCAUCAACAUUCUAAUUCCACCUUCUGUCAACCCUUUUUGGGGAGCCUGGUGUUGGACAUUUGGGUAGAAAUAUGCAAGGUUGUAUUCAAUUGAUCUACUUAAACACGAUGGCUCUUUGUAUGUUUUAGUGCUGAUACUCCUGUGGGAAUAGGGAAUAUGAGUGUAUUUCACGCCUCCAGUGAAUGGUAGCUCUCCCAUGGAAAAGAAAGGAAGAUAUGGUGUAGGAAAUGGGUAGUUUGCAAAGGCAGUUGAGGUGAGUUCGACAAAGGUAUUUAUAUUGGUAGAAGAGGGUGGCUUCUAUAAAGGUCUCUGGCCAUUUAAAUACAUUGAUAAUCUAGAGUUGCCUGUUCAUCGUCCGAAGGUGUCUCCACCUUUUUCUUUAGCGUUUUGGUUUCUACCUUUUUCAAUAUAUUAUUUGGGGCGCUAUCAAUUUCAGGCACUGUGGCAGUCACCUCAAAAGAAGGAAGCCAGACGUGGAAAUUUUGCUUAGAAAGUUGAACCGUGUAGUUGUUCUAGUGAUUGCAGUUGUGAUCCGGUGCUGGAUUUGGUGCAGUGUUAAUAUUGUUUGUAGAAAUUUGGUUUAGUGUGCUAAAUUUGAUCCAGUACUUGAUCCUGAGAGCUCUGCUUUUUUCUGGUGGUUUAAAGGGUGCAGUGGUGUAUCGCACGGUUGUUCUUCCUAGCAAAUGUGGAUCGAUAUUCCCUACAAUUGGCUGUUUCGAUUUACAGGCAAUUUGGGCAGUCCAAUUGUAGGGAUCCUUUUGGGAUAUAAAAGUGAUUUGGGUGGACUUAAUUUAUGGUAAUUAUUAUUAUUAUUAUUAUUU